rnacentral:rRNA from 1 species
AGGGCAAGUCUGGUGCCAGCAGCCGCGGUAAUUCCAGCUCCAAUAGCGUAUAUUAAAGUUGUUGCAGUUAAAAAGCUCGUAGUUGAGUUUCGGGAUCAAUCUAUCGGUCGUGCAAUAGUACGUACUGAUUUUAUUGAUUCCUCCCUUCUGAUGAACUAUGAUGUCAUUAAUUUGGUGUCAUAGGGAAUCAGGACUGUUACUUUGAAAAAAUUAGAGUGUUUAAAGCAGGCUCACGCUUGAAUACAUUAGCAUGGAAUAACGAAAUAGGACGUUUGAUUCUAUUUUGUUGGUUUCUAGGAUCGACGUAAUGAUUAAUAGGGAUAGUUGGGGGCAUUAGUAUUCAAUUGUCAGAGGUGAAAUUCUCGGAUUUAUUGAAGACUAACUACUGCGAAAGCAUUUGCCAAGGAUGUUUUCAUUAAUCAAGAACGAAAGUUAGGGGAUCGAAGACGAUCAGAUACCGUCGUAGUCUUAACCAUAAACUAUGCCGACUAGGGAUCGGAUGAUGUUAAUUUUUUAAUGACUCAUUCGGCGCCUUACGGGAA